GGCGGCGUGCUUAACACAUGCAAGUCGAGCGGAAAGGCCCUUUCGGGGGUACUCGAGCGGCGAACGGGUGAGUAACACGUGAGUAAUCUGCCCUGUACUCUGGGAUAGCCUUGGGAAACUGAGAUUAAUACCGGAUAUGACAUAUGCUCGCAUGGGUGUGUGUGGAAAGUUUUUUCGGUACAGGAUGUGCUCGCGGCCUAUCAGCUUGAUGGUGGGGUAAUGGCCUACCAUGGCUUCGACGGGUAGCCGGCCUGAGAGGGUGACCGGCCACACUGGGACUGAGACACGGCCCAGACUCCUACGGGAGGCAGCAGUGGGGAAUAUUGGACAAUGGGCGGAAGCCUGAUCCAGCAGCGCCGCGUGAGGGAUGACGGCCUUCGGGUUGUAAACCUCUUUCAGCACAGACGAAGCUGAUCCUUUUUGGGGUGGGUGACGGUAUGUGCAGAAGAAGGACCGGCCAACUACGUGCCAGCAGCCGCGAUAAUACGUAGGGUCCGAGCGUUAUCCGGAAUUAUUGGGCGUAAA
rnacentral:rRNA from 1 species